GACAAUGUUUCCCUCAUGUUCCUAUAUGUGUCUGAUGCAUCAGUUUAGGGAUCGGUAAAUGAAUUUUUUAGAGAUCUUUUUUACUCCAUGAAGAUGAAGCUCACAUCCAGGAAGUUGUGAUCCCUAAAAAAACUGUCUAUUUGUGUAUAUUUGUUUUCUGAUUAAAACUGUGUAUUUCUUCAUCUCAUAAAAUUGUAAGCUGUAUAUUUGUGUUCUGAUCAAGAAAUUGACUCUGAUGCAGAAUCAGAAGAUGGUGAGGACUUGCAAUUAUCUCAUGGAGACAUUGAUGAUUUCUAGUAGUUUUCCUGUUGUUUGAGAUGACAUUUUCCUCAAUUUAUUUUUAAAUCUGGACAUUGAUGAUUUUUGGUUGUUUCCCUUUGUGUUGUACUUUCUAAUUUGUCUAAAAAAUUUCAGACCAUCGCAUCCCUUCAAGGAAUUCCAGUGCCUGAGAUUCCAUGCAUUGUUAUACCACCACCUCCAGCUUUUCCAAGUUUAGCCACUUCGUCUCCGAUCUGUUCUCCAUAAGUGCCCUCUGCCGGCGAACCAACAAAUGAUGUUGAAAAUAUGGAUAAUACAUUACGUGGAGCGGAAGAUGGAAUGUUUGGCCGCUUCUUUGAUGCAAAUGGUAAUGAUGCGAAUGGUGUUGCUGCUGGAACUUUCUCCCCACCUGGUGAUGAUUUACCUACAUUUUGAGAUAUACCUCGUCGUGGUGAAGGAGGUGGUCUGAACUUUUUUUUUGAUUAAUUGGAAGCAAAUGGACAAUUAUCCUUUUGGCCAUGCACUUGGUUAAGGUUGUGAUAUUCUGGAUCAGUAACUCAUAUGAUGCAUGGUGUAUGUAUUCCACGCUACUAAUUGGCACCUAGGUAGAUGACAUUUUGUGAGUUCUAGGUACUGAGCUAGAUGCCAUCUUUUGUAAAGAGUGGUACUAUUAUGUAAACUCUUUGAUGUUGCUAUUUAUAAUAAUGGUGGUUGAAAUA